rnacentral:rRNA from 1 species
GACGAACGCUGGCGGCGUGCUUAACACAUGCAAGUCGAGCGGUAAGGCCCUUUCGGGGGUACACGAGCGGCGAACGGGUGAGUAACACGUGGGUGACCUGCCCUCAGCUCUGGGAUAAGCCCGGGAAACCGGGUCUAAUACCGGAUAUGACUCCAUGACGCAUGUUGUGGGGUGGAAAGCCUUGUGCGGCUGAGGAUGGGCCCGCGGCCUAUCAGCUUGUUGGUGGGGUGAUGGCCACCAAGGCGACGACGGGUAGCCGGCCUGAGAGGGCGACCGGCCACACUGGGACUGAGACACGGCCCAGACUCCUACGGGAGGCAGCAGUGGGGAAUCUUGCGCAAUGGCGAAAGCCUGACGCAGCGAUGCCGCGUGUGUGAAGAAGGCCUGCGGGUUGUAAAGCACUUUCAGUAGGGAAGAAAAGCCGAGUGCUAAUAUCAUUCGGUCUU